AGCGAACGCUGGCGGCAGGUUUAACACAUGCAAGUCGAGCGGGCGUAGCAAUACGUCAGCGGCAGACGGGUGAGUAACGCGUGGGAACGUACCUUUUGGUUCGGAACAACACAGGGAAACUUGUGGUAAUACCGGAUAAGCCCUUACGGGGAAAGAUCUAUCGCCGAAAGAUCGGCCCGCGUCUGAUUAGCUAGUUGGUAGGGUAAUGGCCUACCAAGGCGACGAUCAGUAGCUGGUCUGAGAGGAUGAUCAGCCACAUUGGGACUGAGACACGGCCCAAACUCCUACGGGAGGCAGCAGUGGGGAAUAUUGGACAAUGGGGGCAACCCUGAUCCAGCCAUGCCGCGUGAGUGAUGAAGGCCCUAGGGUUGUAAAGCUCUUUUGUGCGGGAAGAUAAUGACGGUACCGCAAGAAUAAGCCCCGGCUAACUUCGUGCCAGCAGCCGCCGUAA
rnacentral:rRNA from 1 species